rnacentral:rRNA from 1 species
CAGACGGCUCAGUAACACGUAGUCAACCUAACCUGUGGACGUGGAUAAUCUCGGGAAACUGAGGAUAAACCACGAUAGAUAACGGUGCCUGGAAUGGCCCAUUGUCCAAACAGUUUACUGCCACGGGAUGGGACUGCGGCCUAUCAGCUUGUUGGUGAGGUAAUGGCCCACCAAGGCUAUAACAGGUACGGGCUCUGAGAGGAGAAGCCCGGAGAUGGGUACUGAGACACGGACCCAGGCCCUAUGGGGCGCAGCAGGCGAGAAACCUUAGCAAUGUGCGAAAGCACGACUGGGUCAGUCCGAGUGAUUUCUGAUAAAGGAAUCUUUUGCCCGUCCUAAAAGCACGGGCGAAUAAGGGGUGGGCAAGUCUGGUGUCAGCCGCCGCGGUAAUACCAGCUCCUCGAGUGGUCGGGACGAUUAUUGGGCCUAAAGCACCCGUAGCCGGUUCCGUAAGUCCUCUGUUAAAUCCAGUCGCUCAACGGCUGGUCUGCAGAGGAUACUGCAGGACUAGGAGGCGGGAGAGGCGGACGGUACUCCGCGUGUAGGGGUAAAAUCCUUUGAUCCGCGGAAGACCACCAGUGGCGAAGGCGGUCCGCCAGAACGCGCUCGACGGUGAGGGGUGAAAGCUGGGGGAGCGAACC